rnacentral:rRNA from 1 species
AACGAACGCUGGCGGCAUGCCUAACACAUGCAAGUCGAACGAGACCUUCGGGUCUAGUGGCGCACGGGUGCGUAACGCGUGGGAACCUGCCCUUAGGUUCGGAACAACCCCCCGAAAGGGGCGCUAAUACCGGAUAAUGUUCCCGGAUCAAAGAUUUAUCGCCUUUGGAUGGGCCCGCGUUGGAUUAGCUAGUUGGUAGAGUAAAAGCCUACCAAGGCGACGAUCCAUAGCUGGGCUGAGAGGAUGAUCAGCAACACUGGGACUGAGACACGGCCCAGGCUCCUACGGGAGGCAGCAGUGGGGAAUAUUGGACAAUGGGCGAAAGACUGAUCCAGCAAUGCCGCGUGAGUGAUGAAGGCCUUAGGGUUGUAAAGCUCUUUUACCCGGGAUGAUAAUGACAGUACCGGGAGAAUAAGCUCCGGCUAACUCCGUG